AGUGAACGCUGGCGGUAGGCCUAACACAUGCAAGUCGAACGGCAGCACAGUAAGAGCUUGCUCUUACGGGUGGCGAGUGGCGGACGGGUGAGGAAUACAUCGGAAUCUACUUUUUCGUGGGGGAUAACGUAGGGAAACUUACGCUAAUACCGCGUACGACCUACGGGUGAAAGCAGGGGAUCUUCGGACCUUGCGCGAUUGAAUGAGCCGAUGUCGGAUUAGCUAGUUGGCGGGGUAAAGGCCCACCAAGGCGACGAUCCGUAGCUGGUCUGAGAGGAUGAUCAGCCACACUGGAACUGAGACACGGUCCAGACUCCUACGGGAGGCAGCAGUGGGGAAUAUUGGACAAUGGGCGCAAGCCUGAUCCAGCCAUACCGCGUGGGUGAAGAAGGCCUUCGGGUUGUAAAGCCCUUUUGUUGGGAAAGAAAAGCAGCAGGUUAAUACCCCGCUGUGCUGACGGUACCCAAAGAAUAAGCACCGGCUAACUUCGUG
rnacentral:rRNA from 1 species